rnacentral:rRNA from 1 species
CAGCAGCCGCGGUAAUACGAAGGGUGCAAGCGUUACUCGGAAUUACUGGGCGUAAAGCGUGCGUAGGUGGUGGUUUAAGUCCGUUGUGAAAGCCCUGGGCUCAACCUGGGAAUUGCAGUGGAUACUGGGUCACUAGAGUGUGGUAGAGAAUAGUGGAAUUUCCGGUGUAGCAGUGAAAUGCGUAGAGAUCGGAAGGAACAUCUGUGGCGAAGGCGACUAUCUGGGCCAACACUGACACUGAGGCACGAAAGCGUGGGGAGCAAACAGGAUUAGAUACCCCCGUAGUCCCUGUCUCUUAUAU